rnacentral:lncRNA from 1 species
AAUUUUUAAAACUCAGUAAGUCAAGGGACUGUUCAGGUUUGUAAGCACAAAACUUGCUGUUGGGUUUACUUGGGAUUUUUCUUGGUAAUUUCCCACACUUCUAACUUCAGAAAAUUGUUUUCAUCUCAGAGGAAGCGGGAGAGUGAGAGUGAAAGUGAUGAGAUUCCUCCAGCAGCUGCCCAGUUGAUGAAGAAGGAAAAGAAGAAAAAUAAGAAGGAUAAGAAGGCCAAAACUGUGUUGGAAAGUGGGGAUGAGGCUGGAGAUGGAGACAGUGAUGCCACCAAAAAGAAGAAAAAGAAGAAGAAAGUAAAAGUGGUAGAAGUGUCUGAAUAGUAAAAGCCACUUGAAGUUGCAUCCAGCUGGGAGGAGAAAUCAAAGCCUUAUUGAGGAAACUUUGAGGGAUUGAACAAAGGUCCCAGAGUAGAGACUUCUGGCACACUUCAGCUGCAACUUGUGACCUUGGUGGUUAGCUGGUGUGCUCAUCCCAUCCUGUCCUGUUUUAAGGAUAUGCGUGAUGAAAAGCAGACGACUUCUACUGACCUCUGCUUGAGUGGGGAAGCUGGACCUUCAGACCCAGCACUGCCCAGUAACUGUGUGCAGUUGUUUCCUAAUGACCAUUUUAAACAGCAGCCUAGUCUUCUCUUUUUUUUUUGAUACUUGUAAAACAAGUCUGCUAAAUGAAAUGGUAUAGGACCGUCUAUGAGUAAAAGAAAUCUAAGUGAAUGGUGUUCACUGGGGAGAUCUUGUCCUGUGAAGGCUGCUCUAUUCUGGUGUCGGGUAUAGCCCUUGCUGAUCUGGUGUCGUCCAUUGUGUUUUUGGCAUAGCACUUAGUGCACUUCACCAAAGCCAUUUAUCCAACUCUGUCUGGCUACUUGUGUUUGUGGUGGAAGCCAAACCAUUCCUGCUCCCUCAUUUUUUUAACCUUUAUUUGCUUUUGAAGAAUGGAUUUGUUCAUUGCUGGAAGAAUGUACUUUUUUAGUUAUUAAAGUGGACUCAUGAACUUUUAAAAGUAUUCCUAUUGGGUUUACUAAUUGUUAAUGAUCUCAGACUGGCAGAGCAAAAGCUAUAAAAUAUUUUUAUUAAAAAUUUGGAGAUCUUUACGAAAUUUGCUUUUCCUUUGGUUACCUUUUAAAAUAUUUAUUAUUUUAUGUGUGUGAGUGUAUUGCCUGCAUGUGUGUAAGUGUAGCCAUGUUGUGCAAAUGCCCGCAGAGGUCAGAACGUGUCAAAUCCUGGAAUUGUGGAUAGUUGUUAACCACCAUGUGGGUGCUGGGACUCGAACUUGGGUCUUCUGCAAGAGCAGUCAGUGCUCGUAACCUCUAAGCCAUCUCUCUAGCCCCUGCUUUGGUUACUUUAAAAUUUCUCUUCAUUGAGGUCUUUCACCUGGGGUCAAAUGCUC